rnacentral:lncRNA from 1 species
CGCCGUCCUCAUCUUCAUCAUCCUCACCAUCGUCAUCAUCAUCGUCAUCACCAUCCCCGUCCUCGUCAUCGUCGUCACUAUCACCGUCCUCCUCGUCGUCAUCAUCAUCGUCUACGGACUGAACCAGUGGAGCACCAACUGUGCCGUGCAAAACCUCUCUAACGUCAUCCUCAUCUUCCUCUUCGCCGUCGUCCUCAUCUUCGUCGUCGUCGUCGUCGUUAUCGUCAUCUUCUCCGUCGACUUCCUCAACAGCCACCUCCUCUUCCCUUUCUUCCCUUGCCACCUCUUCAACUUCCCGAAUUUCCUCCGCUUCCGUCAUUUUUCCGAUGGGAAACUUCUUAUUUCCAGAAAAAUUUUAAAUUGAAAUUAGAGAAAAUUGUUGCGAAACGGAGGAGAGAGAAAGUAGAGAGGAAUAGAGGAGCUUCUUCUUCGUUGCUCAGAGUAGCUGUGCAGAAGGAUUGAUCUCGACCGUCGAAUAAGGAAUUCAAGCGGAUUGAUGAGGUGGAUGAUCAUCCAACGGUCCAGAUGAGAGCAGACAAUUUCUCGCGUGCUUGCGGCGCCUGUAUUACAUUUUCCUUGUUAUUAGCGCAUCACGUGAUCUGCGCGUGAAGGGAUCUAGGGUUUUCGGGGUUUUCGAUUCUUGUUUCAUCUCCAUGGAGAUAUUUUACUCUUUUUGCUGGCAUAUUCUUCUUUUUGACCUUUUAAAAAAAAAAAAAAAGUUUUUGACAAUCUGGGCCUCAACUUUCAAAAUCAUGGGACCAUCUUCGCCCAAAAAAGAACGGAACAAAGGUGAAAAGGGCCUAUAGGCCAUUUUGUGACUUCUUAACCCGUCAACCCGCAACUUGGGCUCUUGAUUAAAUAUUGCUGUCUGCAUAUUAAACAACUACUUGGCUUAAUGGUCAUUUUCUACCUAGUCUUGUACAACAAUACCCAAAAGGCCAAAUUUUGGGAGAUUCAAAUUGUGUCAUACCACUUGGUGAGAUGAUAUGGCACGAUUUGAAUUAUUUUUUUUUUUUUUUCAAAACGGCAACUCAUCAUUCAUUAAACUAAACCAGAGUACAAUCUUUGGAGCAACUGCUCCUACAAUCUGCCUGAACCAAAUCAAGCAACCACGCUGGGAAGUCAAACUUCCAUUCAGCUGUUUUUUCCAAAUUUAUAGCAAACUUUGCUAUAUGGUGACUAACAGAGUUGCUCUCCCUUCUAGUGAAGGAAAAGCAACAUUCAUAAAAACUGAGCUUCAGCCUUUUAAUAUCUGAAAGCACAGUUGCAAUCCCUACAUCAUCUUCUUCACUAUUUAUCCUAUCAAUAACAUACUUACAAUCAGAUUCGAACUCCACCCUCUUCCACCCUUGUUGUUUGGCCACCAGCAUUGCUGCUCUUAAUGCUAAUGCUUCCUCCAUCUUUGGGGUUGAACAACUUGAGCCCGGCACUGCCCAAGCUCCCACUACUUCCUUCUGCCAGUCCCUUGCCACCAACCCCCAUCCUGCUUUCUCCUUGUCUUGUUGAACUGCUGCAUCAGAAUUUAUUUUCACCCAUGCCUCACCUGGUUCCUGCCAUACACCUGGUUCCACCUUCCCCUCCCCUCUAACUCUGACUAAAUCUUUUUCCUCCAUCCGCACCUCCUGGAACUCUCUCCAUUCCCCAAUAGCUUUUUGGACCACUCCCAUGGGAUCCCUGGCUUUUGCUUCAAAUUGUCUCGCAUACCUUGACUUCCAUAUCUACCAUAACAAGUUCACAGUCACACCAAUACGCUCCUGUCCCAUCUUCCCCUUCACUGCAUCCUUCAGCUCCUCCCACCAAUGCCAGAAUUUAUACCUAUAUGUCUCCAGCCCCUCCUAACUAACUGGCGCCACUUCGCAGAUGGCCUUUGCAUGGUCACAAAAAAACAGCAAGUGCUCUAAAGUUUCUGUAUGUUCCCCACAACACCUGCACAUAUGAUCCCCCUUUGGGCACCUUGCCUUUACAGUUGCAUUCACAGGCAGGAUAUCUUGUAGACACUUCCAAAUGAAGUGUUUCAGCUUCUGUUUUAUAUUCAACCCCCAAAGAAAGCUCCAACUCUGAGCUGAGCAUCUCCUGUUACUGCUAGAUUCAACAUUCCUCCCAACAGGAGCCCUCCUCUUUUUAAUGCAUUUAGCCAGUUUAUAACCUGACUUAACUGUAUAUUCCCCCGUAUUUGACUUGCUCCAGUAUAAUAUAUCUUUCAUACUACAUACACUUAAAGGUAUUCUCAGUAUCUCCUUCCCUUCCUUCUCAUAAAAAACCUGUGCAAUCAGUUCCCUAUCCCACUUGCCAUUAUUUAUAAGAUCACUCACCCUCUGAACAACCACCUCCUCAGUUCUUGGAGUCUUCACUCUCCCAUCCUCUGUGUCUGGUAACAAUCUAUCUUCUCAAAUAUCAAUUGACUUGUCAUCCCCCACCCGUUUCCUGACCCCCUCCUCCAACAGUUCCCUCGCCCUCAAUAAACUUCUCCAGUACCAGGAAUCAGUACCAUGGCCUUGCAUUGCCCAAAUUGAAGUCCCUCUAAAAUACCUUGCCCUCAUGACCUUACUCAUCAGCAAAUUUGGCUUAGUUAAGAUCCUCCAGAGCUGCUUUGCCAGCAAAGCCAGAUUGAACUCCUGCAACUCCCUAAAGCCUAAACCCCCCUCACCCUUCCCCUCAGCCAACUUCUCCCAGUUCAACCAGUGAAUUCUCUGCUCCAUCUCAUUUGAACCCCACCAGAACUUUGCCAUUUCAGAACUAAUCCUCCUACACAAGUCCAUAGGUAUCAGACAGCAGGACAUCACAUAAAUGGGCAAGGCCAUGAGUACUGACUUGAUCAACACUUCUUUACCAGCCUGGCUCAACAAUUUCUCCUUCCAUCCCUUCAACCUCCCUAUUGUUUUCUGACAGAUAUACUCAAAAGUCUGCCUUUUGGAUCUCCCAAUGACUAAAGGUAGUCCCAAAUACCUACUUUGUUCAACCUGCUUCAUCCCUUGCAGUUCUCUCAUCACCCCUUCCUUAUGUCUACUCAUCACAUUCCUGCUAAAAAAUAGAGAAGAUUUCUCAAUAUUGAUCAGCUGUCCAGAGGUUUUCCUGUAUACCUCUAAGAUUCUCCUUAGCUGCUCAGCCUCCAAAACAGAUGUUCUACAGAAAAUCAGAGAGUCAUCUGCAAAAAACAAGUGAGACAGCCUAGGAGCCUUCCUUGCAAUCUUUAACCCAGACAGCUUGCCCUGCACCACAGCUUGAUUCAACAAUGAUGAGAAACCUUCAGCACAUAUCAGAAAUAGAUAAGGAGACAAAGGAUCUCCCUACCUCAAACCUCUCGUUGGCCUAAUGAAACCUCUUUUCUGACCAUUAAAGUUUAUAGCAUAAGUAACACUAGAAACACACUGCAUCACCCACUGAAUCCACUUAGGACAGAAACCCAUUUUCCCCAUAACUUUUGCCAGAAAAGUCCACUCUACUCUAUCAUAGGCCUUUGACAUAUCAAGCUUAACAGCCAUAUAGCCUUCCCUCCCAGAUCUUUUGUUUUUUAGAAAAUGAAUGCACUCAUGAGCAAUCAGGACAUUAUCCAGGAUCUGCCUACCAGGGACAAAAGCAGACUGUGCCUGACUAAUACAAAGAUUCAGAACCAACUUUAAUCUAUUGGUGAUCACCUUGGAAAUUAUUUUGUACAACACAUUACACAGGCUUAUAGGUCUGAGAUCUGCCAUAGUACUAGGGGGAACAGAUUUGGGGAUAAGACUAAUCAGAGUCUCAUUAAUGGACUUAAGAAUGAAACCAGAAACAAAGAAACUAUUGACAGCAUUACAAAUAUCAGUUUUUAAAAUUGACCAAAACUUUUGAAAGAAGAUUGGGGACAUACCAUCUGGUCCAGGGGACUUAUUUGGAUGCAUCGAAAACACAGCUUGAUUGAUCUCCUGCUCUGUAACCUUCCUGGUAAGCUCCCUGUUCAUCUCAUCAGUAAUGGUCUAUGGAAUUCAUUCUAAAAUCUCAGAGAAAACCUCAGGUUCCUCUGUCGUAUAAAUCUGCUGAAAAUAGUCCAGUAUCUCCUGGCAUGUUUCCUCCUCAUCCUUACACCACUCUCCAGACCUCUUCUGUAGCACAUCUAUUCUAUUCAUCCUCCCCCUCCUAGCCACCGAGGCAUGAAAAAAACUAGUGUUCUUAUCCUCUUCUUGCAACCACUUCACCCUAGCCUUUUGACUCCAAUAUAUCUCUUCCCUUUUAUAAGCCUCUGCCAGUUUCCUUUUUAGACUUGCCAACUUGAUCCUAUACCCAUCACCUUUACAUUCCUUAACCUCUUUGAUCUCCUGCUUCACUUUUCCUAUCAUACUCUUAGAAUUACCUCCCAUCUGCUUGCUCCAACUGAGCAAAUCCACUCUAACUUUCUUAAUUUUUGCCUGAACCAUGAACAACCUGGAUCCCUUUUGCUUACUUCCCCAAGCUCUAUCUACCACCUCAUCUAUAUCACUAUUUUGCAGUCAUCUCCUGUCAAACAUAAACCUCCUCUUCCCUUUUUUCCUAACAGGCUUAGUAUCCAACAACAAGAUACAGUGAUCAGAAGCCUCUACCUCUAUAUGUGCACAACUUGCCUUCUCAAACUUCCCUAUCCACCAUUUACUUCCCAAAAUCCUAUCUAUCAUUUCCUUCACCCCCCUCCCUGUUCCAAUUAUUGCACCAAGUCCAAGAGACUCCCUCAGCCCCAAUGUCCACCAACUCAUUUUCAUUUAUAAAAGAAUUAAAAUCUUGAAAACUCACAUUAGCUUUUUGUCUACCACCCCACUUUUCAGCAUUUGAUAUGAUGUCAUUCAAGUCUCCCAUGAUUGCCCAGGACUCCCCCCAGAUACACCUCCUCCUAGUAAUAACCUUCCACUGUUCUCUCCUAAUACUAGCAUCUGCACUAGCAUAAGCACAGAUGCACCACCAUUCAGCCCCUAUUUCACUAUCAUCUAUAAGUAAUUCUAUAGUGAAGCUGGUAAACAACACUUUUUUAACCUUUAACUCCUGUUUCCAUAGCACUGCCAAACCUCCCGCCAACCCAACUGGAUCAACCACAAAGACACUAUCAAACUGAAUCCAUUGCUUAACACUGUUCAAAAAGCUUUUUUUCUUUUUUGUUUCAGCCAAAAAGACUAGAGAUGGAGAGUGGAGUCUUACGACCUCCCUCAACUGGGGAACUGUCAAGGGGCUCCCCACACCUCGACAGUUCCACACCACAGCCCUCAUUUGACACUUGGAGCCCCAAUAAGGGUGGACUCCAACCUCUCAGCAAGUUCCAUCUCCUCACAGUUCCCACCAUCAGACUUUAUUUUCUUCAUAUUUUCCUUCCCUUCCUGACCCUCUUUCCCCUCCCAUUCCACAGUCUCCAUCUUUCUUUUUCCCUUCUCCAUCCCCCCCUCCACCUGAUUGACUUCCACUAGAGGUCUUCUCUUACUAACUUCCAGAACAAAUCUUUUCCAGGUUUUGUUUGUCCUAUCAGAACCUUUCUUUCUACCCCCCUGCUUCCCUGUCUUCCUCCUUUCCUCCAUAGCCCCCCUGUUCCCUAUCCUCUCCCUUUCAUCCCCCAACCCCUUCACGAUUUGAAUUAUUAGAUAUUUGAAAAUCGAGUCUAUCCAAAUACGAGCCUUAUCGAAAGGUUUUGCUUUCUUCCAGAUUCUAAUGACACCAAUUAAUAUGUUUGUGUGGCUAGGUUUUGGCACAAAUAUCAUCCAAAACACAACUUGUUGAGCCAUGCAAUACCUUUUUCUUUUGGGUAUGGUUUUCAUUGGCCAAAGGCAAUUGUAAUUUUUUAUGGACAAACAAUCGUGGAACUUUUAGAGGUUAUUUGAUUGUAUUUUUUAGACAGUUUUUUAAUAAGAAAUUUAGUUUAGCACUUUUAUACAAUGUGAUGUAUAAAAAGCAUAUUCAAGUGAAGCAGAAAUUUUUUUUCUUCAAAAAAAAUAGCAAUCCUAACAAAGACGUUUUUCUUUUCCUCAUUUCUCACUUGCAAGGAGUUAAUUAGGGCACGUUUGGUAUGGAGUCUCAUGGAUGGUGGUUGAGAAUGGGAAUGAUUAUAUCAGUAGCAAAGGGGGUUGUGAAAACGUUACAAGUAUACACCAUUUAGAAUUGAACCGAAAAUGUCAGUUAACAUGUGUGAGAAGUUUUCAACGUCUCCAGGAAAAAUAAAUAAAUAAAAAAACUCAAGUAUAGGAACUUGUAGCAUUUUGUAGCUCAAUUAAGGCAAAGAUUGAGAAGACACGGAACAGUCACUUAGCAGAAUAUAUUAUUGGGUCUGCAACCAAGACAUACUUUUGUAGUGCACUCCAGAGCUAAAUCAAUUUUUUCCACCUAACAAAUAUUUAAGGAUGAGAUAAAUGGAACCAAAAUUGGGGACUGACGAGGAACAUAGGAUGAGUUGGGAUUUGUUUGGAGUUUGGCAAAGACAAGAGGCCAACAACUUGAUAGGUUGGCUAGGGGAAAAAAAAACAACUUUGUAGGUAUUUAAUUAAUGAAAUAAUUUUUUUAUGCACUUAUAUUGUAGUAUUAUAUAUUUUUUUUACUAGUAAUUUUGGAUGUAUGUCACAUGUGUAUGAUUUGAAAUUUGAAUUUAAAUUCAUAUUAUGUUGCAUGAUCUAAAUCUACGAGUACAAAAAAUUAUUUUUUAAUUAAUUAGCAAUAGUAGUAUCAUACUUAGUUAUAAAGCCCGAUUCGGUUCGUGCAAUCAAACCAAUCAACUCUAUGAACCGGUUAUAGAAUCGAGUUGAGUUGCUAAGUAGAUCGAUCAAGCAAAAAAUUCAAUGAUAAGUCAAUGAUCCGAUGAUGAGAAUAAUGAAUCAAAAAAAAAAAAUCAUCAAUUGAAAUUGAACAAUUGACUUAAAAAUUUUAUUAUUUUUAUAAUUUAUAAUAUAUUAUUAUAUUAUAUAAUGUUCUUAUUGUAUAACUCAUGGUUAAAUUAUUGACUCAAUAACCCUGUCACCUCUUUGGAUCGAGAUCGAGGCUGAAUUUAACAACUAAUGGUAUUAUAAGCAAGAAGCACGUGUUUCUAGUGGUGCCUUACAGAAUCAUCAUUCAUUCUUCAUCCAUACCCUAAGGUGCAAAAUUUCCCUUCCCCCACACCCCGCUCUCUAUUUUGUUAUUUUGUUAUUGUUAUGUCUUCGUCGGUUCAACAAAAUCAUGCGCACCAAAUUAAUUUCUCCAGAAAAUUCCAUUUACAUCACCCCAAUUAAACCCAAAAAGAAAACUACUACUACUCCUACUAGUAGUAUGAUGGUAUAAAUUACUAAUUAAUUUAGUUGCAUAAAGCACUUAAUUAUGAGGGACUGAAUUUUGGAUCAUUUGUUAGUGGUGUUAGUUAGUUGCAAUUUAGCCAGGCAGCCAGCAAGCAAAGAUUGAAAGGGGGCCGCGCAUGUGUCCGGCUAGGUCUUACUGGUCAUCGGCCCUGAGUUCCAUCAGGUGGCCGGAAUUCGAGUUCUCCGUACCCGCUUCCAUCUUCAGAUGGGCUGCGGGAAUUGAUUUCUCCUACUUCACCACCGGUUGGUCCGCCUCUACCUUCCGCUGGCUGGGUUUUUCCAUAGUUGAUAACGCCAUGUGGACCGUAAUCACGGUGCUGGAGUCCGUAGCUCUGGUCACCAUGCUCUGCUAUUUCUUCAUCUUCUGCGGUUGUACUUUGUGAUUGUUUUUUUUUUUUUUUUUUUCUUGAGAUUUUGUACAGUAAUAACUCAAAGAGUAGAAUAAUAAUAAUAGGUAGCUAGCUAUUUUUAAUUAUUAGAUCAUUUCUUGUAGACGACACCCCUCUGGUGCUCAGUUGAUUACUCUUUAGUGCUUGCUAGCCUAAUACUUCAGGAAGGAAGCCAUGGGGUACGUUCAAUUCUUUUUCUUUUUCAAAUUUGUACCAACUUCUUGAUGUCGUUUCAUAGGUUGAAUUCAUUUUACAGGAGUAUUUUGCAUUUUGAUUACUAUUUUGUAUCAGCUCAUCAUAAUUGGUUGUUUCCUCUCUCUUGUGAUUGGUUUCUUUCUCGCUUGGAUCCUAAUCUUUCCUUCAGAUCAGGUUUGGUUCAUCAAUCAUCAGACAACUAAAACAAAAAAGAAGACAGGUGGCCAUGUUAAACUUUUCCUUCCUCAUUCUCAAUCGACCUGAAAACUAAGAAAACGAAGAAAUGUUUUGUUUCUGGGGUCUACCGUUCUAAACCGGACUAGUGGAGUAUCUGCUUUUCGUUCGUUUUCUGUGACUAGCUACUGGUGCCUAUCUGCCUUAUUCAAUAAUCAUUCGAGUACUGCCAGGAUCAAGGGCAUGUAUGAACCCAAUAAAUAAUUUUUUUUGUUAGAAAAAGAGGAAAACUAGAGUUGGGUACCAGGAUCAGAGGAAUGAACUGGAAGUAACAAGAUGAUUUUUCUAGGCCAGCCUUUUCACCCUUCGAGUUGCUCUGGUUGACAAGCUUAGAAUAUAUUAUACUAGUCUCUGGAGCAAUUUUCAAUCAUUUUGAUGGCCUUCUCAUCUAUUCAAUUAAUUUGUUGAUUGCUGGUGAAUCCUACGGCAUCAUUAGUGACGAGACUAGCAUGUCAAAUGUAGCAGUCGUUUUUUUUGGUUUCGGAAAAGGUUAAUGUUGAUGCCAUUAUUGUGAGUUUAACAGAAUGAAUCUUGAAUGUUCCGGGGGGAGACCACCAUUUAUUAUUGUUUACCGUUUUCCAUUAAUCAGUUCAUCAUCCUUGCAAAUGCAAAGAGCGUUAGUUAUCCGCUCUACAAGACUUUGGCGGCGAAGAAGCUCCUAAAUCUCUUCUUACUUGCCAUUGCGGGCAGCAGAGAAGGACAAAUGAUGAAGAUGAUGAUGAUGAUUCAUUCACACUUGGAACCCAACAAUCAAACAAUUCAUAGCGGACUCUUCUAGAAAUUUCACGAGUGAGGCCCAUUAGGCCCAGUACUAGGCCAUUGUCGACCGUUGGAAGCAAGCAACGCGUGGAACAGCUAAACGCCAGACGUCUCGACAAGUGUCAUUCAAAAAUACUAAAAGACCCUUUUACCCCCGCCUCCCUCCCUAUAGUCUAUCGUUACGAUUUGAAAAACAAGAGCCGUACAAUUAAUUCCUGAAUGUAGCGGAAAUGCAAGAUAAAACCUGAAAACCCCCCGGGCCGGAUUUUUAUUUUUUUUGUUUGGUUAAAAAAACCAGGAACCCAAUUUUCUCUUCUCUCUCCUGCUGCAUUUCUCUCAUAACCCUUUAUCUUUCUUGAAUAUCUGGAAGAAAAUAAACCCGUGAAAUAUUUUCUGUGUUUUCUUCAUAUUGUUGAAUCAAUUGGCUACUUGUGUAUGGAAUUUGAGACCAAUUAUUAUAGUGAUACAGAAGGAGCAGUUUUUUGGGUUCCCAAUCAAAAAGCCAUUCAUUUUCGCCGUGUGAAUCCUCCUUUAACCUGCAAUUCAGGGCUGCAUAUAAAUCCUCGUCGGCCUCCAUUUUGCCCUGGAUUUAGUCCAGUUAAUCCGCUUUUAGUUGGCUUCCUGGAGUUGGGAUUUGACCCUGAUGUCUUAAUGAAAAUGGAGGUCCAGAGGUCAAUUUCCCUGCUUCAGGUAAUAUGCCAAAUGCAAAGAAAAAAUUGAUAUCAUAAACAUCGACCUUUUUCUUUGUUGCAUUCUUUUUAAUUGUGGGCUUGGAUUUUAUUUAUGUAGUUCAUGGCUGAUGAGCGUCUGGUGCCGUCUCCUGAGGAAGAAAUCAAGAGAAGAAAUGUCAUUGCCAAGCUUAAACAGGUUCAUUUUCGUUCUAAAUUGCAGUAAAAGAGAAGCACCUCUUUCGGUGAAUCCCAUAAACACGUGUUGCAUGUCUCAUCGUUUCCGUAGUUUUCGUAAAUUGGUUAAUCUUGAUUCUGAAGUCAAAUUGCUUGAUAUUGCAAAAUUAUGAGGUGGGGUUGGUUGGGGAUAGGAAAUGACAUUACAGAACUGCGUUGCAAGGCUUGUACCAGCCAUCAUUUUCCAAGGCAAAAAUAUGAGAGAGAGAGAGAGAGAGAUCAGGAGAGAAGAUGAGAAGGAACUUCCUAGCAGACUGUAAGAGUACAGACUUUCCUGCAUUUAUUAGUUUGUGAUUGUUGAUCAGUUUAUUGAGCUUUAUAAUAGCAUUACAAGGUGGGAUGGACUAGACAUUCGGUUAACAAUGAUAACCCCCACCUAUCUAGGGUUUCAGAUAGGAUUGGAGUCCUUUCUUCUUCUUUUUUUUUCUCUGGUCUAGCAUGAACCUGUUGUAUUGCCUUCCUGGUUGAACGGCUUUGCCGAGUUACCAAUCCAUUAACAUUAGUUGUGAGCAGUCUAUUUCCUUCAGGGAGCUAAAUUGUAAAAUAUUUAGAGUUUCCUCUGGUAGUUAAUAACUGUUUGAAUGCUGCCCUGGCUGGAUGAAAAAUCUGAAAUGAAUUCUACUUAGUGCCUAAUUUGUUACAGCAUUUGAAUAUUUUUGUUUCUUUGAGGAGGUGCUAAUUUGACAUUGCACUGUGGUCAUCAUAUUGUGAUUAAAUAGAUUUUAGUUUUUUCGCAUCUUUUCUGAUUGAUGCUUGUGCAUCUGAAAUUCUUCAUAUGCAGAUAGUGAUGCACUGGGUUAAAAGGGUUGCUUACCAGUGUCAACUUCCCAAGAAUCGAGUUAGAGCUGCUUCUGCUACAAUAUUGACAUUUGGAUCUUAUGGCCUUGGAGUAAGGCUUGAUUCAUUUUCACUUACACUGCAACUAUUGCCAUCUUCUUGCUUUUGCCUGUCAGAUUACUCACCUGAGGGUACCACUAAUUUUGUUAGGUCUAGUGCAACAAUAAUUUUGUGAUCCUCAUUAUGAGUUUUUUUUUGUGAUCCCAAUAAUUUUGUGAUCCUCAUUAUGAGUUUUUUUUUCCCCCAAAAGAUGAGAUUGCAAGAUCAGUUUGUUGAUUGAAAUUUCAGUGCUAUGUUGGCAAAAUGACAUUGGGAUUGUCAACUUUUGGAAGAAGUCAUAACUGUGAAUUUAAUUUUACUGCUAACAAAUUCAUCUUUUGGGUUCGAGCUUGAAAUUGUCUUUUGAACUGCUUAAUACUAAAACUAUGCAGUUGAAAAAAAUUACUAACUUUAUCAUUUAAAUUACAUGAAUUUGAAUUGUUCAAAAUGGCAUCACUGCUGUUGCUAAAAAGAAUUGACAUUUUUUGUUGUGUUAAAUCUUCUGACUUGUUUCAAUGAAUUCAGGUCCAUAAUUCAGGUUCAGAUAUAGAUGCUUUAUGUGUAGGCCCAUAUUUUGCAACAAUGGCAGUAAGUGUUACUUCUUAGCAUUUUGUUUCAACUUAUAAUCAGUGGGAAUGUUUCAAACAUCCUCUUCUUAUGACUAGGAGGACUUUUUCGUACUUCUUCACAAUAUGCUUGCAAGCAGACCUGAAGUGACUGAGAUACACUGUAUAAAGGAUGCAAAGGUUCCUCUAAUGAAGUUUAAGUUUGAUGGGCUUUCAAUUGAUUUGCCUUUUGCACAACUUAAAGUAAUCUCUGUUCCUGAGGUGUGUGCUGUGGCCUUUAUAUCCACUCCAUGGUAACUAUUUGAGUGUUAGUGAUGACAUCUUGCAGGAUUAGUAUUCAAGUAGAACUUCAUGACAACUAAUAUCUAGUUUCACCUCUCAGCUAAAUUUUUCUUGUUUCUACUGACAGCUUUUCUUUGUUGAGCCUUAUUCUGAAAGUUCUGGGUUUAACAUGUCAUAACAUGUCUACUUAUGAAGAUUUUUACUUGUGAAAUAAUGAUGUGUAGAAUGUGGAUCUACUUAAUCCAUUUUUUUUGAGGAACAUUGAUGACACAAGUUGGAGAAGUUUGUCUGGUGUACGUGCCAAUAAAAGUAUUCUUCAGCUCGCGCCAAACGUCGAGGUAAAUAUGUAAUUUUGGCCUCUAAUUAGCACUCUAACUUGUGCACAAGAGCAACCCAUUACAUGCUUGUGCAAAUUUAUCCAAGUCACGUGCCAACUCAUAGCUGUAAGCCUCGAGUUAUUUGCGUCCUUUUCAUAUCUCUGAUGUUAUCAAAGUGAUUUGUGCAGCUAUUUCAGUCGUUGCUGCGUUGUGUUAAAUUAUGGGCAAAAAGACGAGGAGUGUAUGGAAAUGUAAGGGUUGUUUUUUUUAUAUGCUGGCUUUGCAGUUUUUGUCUAGUAUUUCUUGUCUCGGCAUCCCACCUAAUUGGAAAAUGACAUUAAUCCGGUUCAUUGCAUGCUUUGCAGUUACAUGGUUUUUUUGGAGGUGUUCAUUUUGCAGUCCUUGCAGCAUUUGUUUGUCAAAGGCAUCCAAAUGCCAGUCUGAGUCUUCUGAUCUCAAUUUUUUUUAAGACGUUUGCCUUUUGGCCUUGGCCAAGACCCGUUUUUCUGCAUGGCCGCAUGAUGCCACCGACUAUUGCCAGUGACUCCCGGUUUUUGAUGCCUAUCCAAUUACCAUGUAGCCCAAAUGAAUAUUGCCAUUCUAACAUCACACGAAGCACGUUCUUCCGGAUUAGAACCGAGUUCCUUCGCGGACAUGCCUUGACUAAGGUAUAGUGAUUCAUCUGAACUGAGAAUUGGAUGUAACCUGUUUCUGCCAUGCUUCAAUCCUUCCUGCUCUGUCAUGUUUCAAUCAUUCCUGCUCUUAUCAUAUACAUUUGUUGUCUUCUCUCUAAUUGAUAACUACUAGGUGGUAUAGUGAGCCAUCUGAAUCAGAAUUGGAUGUAACCUGUUUCUAUCAUUUUUGACUCCUUUGUGCAAUCAUCAUCUAUGCAACAGUAGUCUGCCUCUAACUGAUAUAUACUGAGUGGUGCAUGCUGAACCUUAACGUGGUUAUUUAUUCCCUUUUCCUGUCAAUUCUCAUACUGCAGGAUAUUCUAAGGCCCGAUUUCAGUUGGAGUAUCCUAUUUGAUCCUUUUCCAUAUGCAAAGAAAUAUGCUCAGUUUGUCAAAAUUUGCCUCUCAGCUUCUAAUCAAGAUGAGUUACGAGGAUGGGUGGGUUGGGUCAAAUCGCGCUUCCGCUCACUUCUUGUCAAGGUUGGUGGUUGACUGCUUAUUGGCGUUUUGUCUAUAUUUAUAUAGUAAAGUUGAACACAAGUUUAUCCUAUAUGUUGCUAAUCACAAUAUUAUGUAUCUAGUUGACAUGUAAGCUUAUCGAGUGCUACAGACUAGAGAUAUUCUCUUAUUACGUUUUGAUCCAUUCAGCUGCUUGGUGAUUAAUGUGUCUGUCAGCCUUCCUUGGAAAGCACCUAGGCAAUCAUGCCAAUUAUUUGCCAAUACUUGCUCUAAGCGAAUGGUCUGAGGGAUUCAGUUUGGCCAGUUUAUCUAUAGGUGAAGACACAGUCAACUGGCAUUCAAACUCACGUUGAAUUUUUGUAUCCCCUAACUGUUGAUUUUUACAGUCUAAGCCGUAUCUCUGAUAUGUCAUUUAUAAUUCCUAGUAAAUAAAUAAAUUUUUAUGACCUUCUUGAGAUGUUUGCAGUGCUUUUGAAUAGGCAUCUGUAGUCCUUUUAUUUCUCAUGAUAUUUAUGGAGUUUGCUGCUGCCUAGGAAUCCUGUCAGAGCUUUAAUAAGCACACUGAUUCAUCAGGUGUUGGGUAAGGAAAAAUAAAGCUUGGUGCUUUCCUUUCUUACUAAUUGUAAAAGAUCUCCUAGGAUAUAAACAAUUGCUGAAGUUCUUGUGCAUCAUCAUGCAGUAGAGUUGUGGUUUGUCUUUUUUAUUUCCGUACUUCUGUUUUCAGCAGGGGCUUUUUAGCUUGUUUUCUAUUUUGUAUCCCUAACAUGUCCACAUAAUCAUCAUGGCUUCUCCCCUGUUACCUGUUUCAAGGCUUGCUCAUGUAAUUCAGGCCUUCUCAUUGUGUGUUGGUUGUUUUCAUUUGACACGCUGCAUUUCUUGUACAGCUGGAAGAAUUACAGGGCUUUUGCGAUCCCAGCCCUUUAGAAUACGUUGAUGUUGAUCUGGCUGCACCAAAUGUUGUCUUUUAUUGGGGUUUGCAGCCCAGCAGGAGGGAUGUAAUAGACAUAGACUUUGUCGAUGAAGAUUUUAUGAAGAAUAUGAGCAAUGGUUAUCGUGUUCCUCCCGGAAGGAUGAAGCUGUCAGUUGUCAAAGCAUCUCAACUACCUAAAAGCGUCACGUGCAAUACUGGAAGUAAGGGAGUGAGGGCUCGCUGGAGGAUUUUAGAUAACAGCCAGCGAAAGAUCCCAGUUCGCACAAACUCACUACCUCAGGAGUUUGCUGGAUUGAUGGCGACCAAUGGAAGUGCAGAAUUCCCCAGUGCUGGGGUUUAGGCUGUAAGAAUGAAUAUUCAUUGUCUCAAGAUAUUAGUUCGAAGUGUGUACAGGCGUUCUACGUGUUUUUUAAGCUCACACAGCAUAGGAAAUACUGUACAUAACCUAGGGCCUAGGAGUUUACUUGAAUUUGUAUUAGCCACAGGGAUACUCUCGUCAACAUAAAAUGUUUUGUUUCUGCUCAAUUUUUCUGCUGGAAGUUUAAAAAAAAAAAAAAAAACCAAAUUGCAGGCCACCAAAUUUUCAGGACAUCUAUUCGACCCGAGUUAUCACAGUAAUAUAGUACUUAGUGCCGGAUUGCUUUUUUACCUUCUUUACCCAGCAGUCUUGAUUAAUUGGUUGAUUCUCUCGGUUUCUCUACUUUUGGUAUAUUCAUCAACAUAGAUGAUGCCUUCAGCAUUUUGGGGUUGGGGGUUGGGGGGUGAAGAAAAACAAAAUUUAUAGAUGACAGACAAUUGCGCUAAAAUGUUGCGGACCACCUAAGAAUGUAAACCGACAUUAUUAAAUACUAUAUAGAGAUUCGUCUUUUGACCAGUCUUCUGCUAAGCUGAACUGUUUGCAUAUGGCUAUAGGACAAGAAGAUCUCGAGUUCAAAACACUGCUAGUACUUCAAUUCUCAACAAGAUCUUCCAACUUUGAACUAAGAAUCAAAAUAACUAAGAAGAUAUGCAAGAAAACAUCUAAGAACUGCUUACCUUCUUUUUCAAACUCCAUUAAUGUCAAAACCACCAACUACAGUAUAUAAGAUCAAACGCCUCAAUCUUCCUGGCACAGUAUUCUCUUCCAGUCUUCCAACUACAAUUUUCUCUCAUAAACAGGAUGAGAAGUUUCACUUCUUUCAUGCUUCUUUUUCCUUAUGCGCUAGUUGUUCUAACCAUUGUUCCGCCACUAAUCUCUUGCGAUCUCAUCUCUGAAACAUGUGACCAAACCCCAAAUGAUCGCCUUUGUGUUAAAAUUCUGAGGAAAGACAAUCGGAGUCUUGAUGCAGAUGUUGCCGGUCUGGCCCUGGUCGCCGUUGAGGCAGUUAGAGACAAGGCAAACUCAACGUUGCAAAGCAUCAAGGAGCUAAAAAGGUCUAAUCUAACAUUGGCAAAUGCGCUAAUGGAAUGCCAAGAAAACUACUAUGUAAUCCUCAGAAUUGAUGUUCCAAAAGCUGUGGGAUCAAUGAGAGAAAACCCAAGACUUGCUGAACAUGGGAUGGCUGAUGCUGUUAUAGAAGCUCAGGGGUGUGAAGCAAGUUUGAACAAACUAGAGCAGUCACCACUGGCUGACGUGAACGCUGCCGUUUAUGACCUGUCUGUUGUGGCUCUGUCCAUAAUCAGGAUAAUGUUGCAUAGAAUCUAUACUGUUAAUUAGAACAUGGUUGGAUUCAAUGAAUAAAAAAAUGAUGAUUGACGUCUAAGAACUGGACAUCAAGGCUCAAGAUUUCCUCUAAUUUACCUACUCUCUCUCUCUCUCUCCGUGGAAAAUACACGAACCUUGCUGACAAAGUCUAAUGUAGCAGUGUAGGUGCUGCAGAAGAUAUUUUAUCCUCGAUCAUGGAAUCCUAUAAAACAACUCAGUUUCUCUUUCACCAUCUUCAUCGUUAUGCCCCAAAAAGGUCACAAGACAUGAAAACUCAUGGCUUGCACAGAGAAAAAAAAAGAAGAAAGGCAACAACCAGAAUCCAUCAUUCAACAACUUCUGUCUUUCUUCACUAAAGAAGCAGCAGCACAGAUGAGUAUACUGUCCAAAGCAUGGUACAGUGCUUAGUCUAUGCAUCCUAUUUUGAACAGGGAUCAUGAUGAUGACACUUCUCUUAGAAAAUCAAUAUCUCAAUCAAACUUUGAUCAAAACCACCAGCUUGCUGUGACGAUUGAAGAAGUCAGAGAAGAGUUCAUACAUCAUGGAGAUAAAUCUGGUGAUGAAUACCGUAAGAAAAAUACGUGUUCACAACUCAACCGAUGAAGUGCUGAUGUAGGCCGGAUUCAUCUUCCAUCAUUUCAAAAAAGAAAAAUAAAAAGAAGUAAUGUAAGAUAAUAUAUUGUUCAGGAAGUCAAUAAUGUAAAUGAUCUUCAUCAGAUCAUUAAUACCCCCUGCCGCAAUUGUAUCAUUUACCAUUGGUUUGUCUCUCCGGGUACCUCCUAUGCCUGCUGUCACAAUUCGUCUCUUUUCUUUUAAAAAAAAAAAAAAUCCCUUUUUUGCUUUAAUUAGUAGUAAAAUCGUUUAAUGCUUUGAAUAUUUAAUUAGAAGUAAAAUCUUUUUUAGUAUUUAUCAGCGCCCAAAUAUUACUGGGUUUUUUUAUUUUCAUCUACAUGAUGGAUUGCUGUAUAAUUUGCCUCCUGAGAUUGAAUUUAAGUCUUGGAGAUAGGUUGACGAUCGAUUUUUCAUAGGCUCCGUUGGUUUUCUUUCUUAGAUUAAGAUAGAAUAGGAUAAUAUAGUUCAUGUGACGAUAACAAAAAAAAAUUUUUCUCUAAUCAGACCGACUUAAUUUGCCUCCCGGGAUUGAAUUUAAGACUUUUCCCCUUGGAAAUAGUUUUUUUUUUUUAAUUUUAUUCGAAGGACCCUUGGAGAUAGGUUGAUGAUCAAAGUGCUAAAUUUAUUUGUAUGGAGUGUUAGAAAAACUGACACUUUGUCAUACAUACCUAUCGAAAUGUGGACGUCAGUUGCCAGCUAGAUUAUAUAGGCUAAUGAUGUGGAAAUCUAUGAUGUUGUUAUAAAAGGUUGAGGUAAUUUUCUUUCGAACUGAUGACGCAUCAUUGCCAGUUGUUGGAUUUGUUGUAAGUAAUGCCGCCUGAAAAGAAAAGGAGGAAAUUGAAGCAAAAUUACCCUGCCUACCCUUUUUUUUUUUUUUUUUUUCUUUUAAAAGUGUCCAUGAAGAGUGGAUUUCGCAGAUUAAUUCCCCUACCUCGCAACUCGCAACUUGCAGAGGCCACGAGACUCGAAUCAGGGACCAAUUCCCUUCUUCAGCAAUCCCAUGUCAGUCACUGGACCAAGCCCGGGACUUAAUAUCAUCCACAUGCCAGCAGACUGACUUUGUAUAAUAAACCGAGUCACAAAUUCUUUAUUGGCUGUGACUGGAAUGUACAAUUGAGCUAAAACCUAUGAAGGAUAGGAUCGUCUAUCUGUGUUUUGGUGAUGGGUUGCAGGUGUAAACCCACUCUUUCCUGGCUUGAUAUUCAAAAGGCAUGAACUGAUUAAGGUCCUGGAAUUAGGUUGGAAAUGUCCUGAGGACCCCAUCCCUGUUAAAAGCCCAGGUACUGUGGAAUAGGGAUUAAAAACUUCAAACCCAAUGCCGUCCCAAGGAUUAAAAGAAGAAAAGUAGUAACUGUUUUGUGUUUUCAUACCAAAAUCAUUAUAUUAUUGAUUUGCCGUAUUCUCAGAUGACGUUAAUGCUAAUUAAUCAGAGCAGCCGUUGCCCGGUCCAAUUAUAUAUUACACACACACAGAAAAGCAAAUAAUUUUUGUGACAGAUAUAACUAAAAUAUAAAUCCCUUAAUCUUUAGGCCAGAAAACGGCUGAUGGAUUACUAAUUGUUGAUUCACCAUCCAAACAAUUAUAGCGAAGCUGUCAUUUGCGCUAAAGCAACAACCUGAUUAUAGCUUCGGCCACGACAGAAAUUUCAUGAGCAGCCGUGUGUUAACAUCGGCAAGCGGGGAGGGGGACGGUUUGAAACCAUCUUCACAUUCUUGAGCCACUUUAGCGGAAUCAUUCACGCUUUCUUCGGCAAACUUUGGAUCUCCUUUAGUCAAUGCCUCAACAGCUUUAGUAACAUCAUAUUUUAUGAUAAAAUCAUACUUAAAGCUGCACUCUGC